rnacentral:tRNA from 1 species
UGGGGUGUAGCCAAGUGGUAAGGCAACGGGUUUUGGCCCUGUGAUACGUAGGUUCGAAUCCUCCCACCUCAG